rnacentral:sRNA from 1 species
UCAUUUAACGUGUAGGAACUUAGUUUUGC